AACGAACGCUGGCGGCAGGCCUAACACAUGCAAGUCGAGCGAAGCCUUCGGGCUUAGCGGCGGACGGGUGAGUAACGCGUGGGAACGUGCCCUUUGGUACGGAAUAGCCCCGGGAAACUGGGAGUAAUACCGUAUGUGGUCGAGAGACGAAAGAUUUAUCGCCAAAGGAUCGGCCCGCGUUGGAUUAGGUAGUUGGUGGGGUAAUGGCCUACCAAGCCGACGAUCCAUAGCUGGUUUGAGAGGAUGAACAGCCACACUGGGACUGAGACACGGCCCAGACUCCUACGGGAGGCAGCAGUGGGGAAUCUUAGACAAUGGGGGAAACCCUGAUCUAGCCAUGCCGCGUGAUCGAUGAAGGCCUUAGGGUUGUAAAGAUCUUUCAGUGGGGAAGAUAAUGACUGUACCCACAGAAGAAGCCCCGGCUAACUCCGUGCCAGCCGCCGCGGUAAAAC
rnacentral:rRNA from 1 species